GAUGAACGCUGGCGGCGUGCCUAAUACAUGCAAGUCGAGCGAACGGACGAGAAGCUUGUUUCUCUGAUGUCAGCGGAGGACGGGAGAGUAACACGUGGAUAACGUACCUAUAAGACUGGGAUAACUUGGGGAAACCGGCGCUAAUACCGGAUAAUCUUUUGAACCGCAUGGUUCAAAAGUAAAAGACGGUGUUGCUGUAUCUUCUAGAUGGAUACGAGCUGCAUUAUCUAGUUGGUAGGGUAAAGGCUUACCACGGCAACGAUGCAUAGCCGACCUGAGAGGGGGAUCGGCCACACUGGAGCUGAGACACGGACCAGACUCCUACGGGAGGCAGCAGUAGGGAAUCGUCCGCAAUGGGCGAAAGCCUGACGGAGCAACGCCGCGUGAGUGAUGAAGGUCUUCGGAUCGUAAAACUCUGUUAUUAGGGAAGAACAUAUGUGUAAGUAACUGUGCACAUCUUGACGGUACCUAAUCAGAAAGCCACGGCUAACUACGUG
rnacentral:rRNA from 1 species